rnacentral:rRNA from 1 species
AGCGGCGCAUCCUCUGACACCUUCGUCUAGGAUUAGGUUAAUGCAAAACCGCCUCCCCGGAGCUUCCAGAACCUUUCGGGAGGAGGGGUGCGAUGUGGCAUGAGGCGCGGCGGUCGGAGAGGAAGGUCCACGACCUCAUGGACGGUGCGCGGCGCCGGGCCCAGCGGCGCUACGCCUACCUCGCCCGCCGACGCGGCGAUCCGCACCAGUCCCUCGAGGUUUCCGGUGCCCGGUGCCGCGUCCACCGCGACGACUCACUAUAUCAGGCCACGGAGGACCAGCAGGGAUUGAUACAAUGGAACGGGAAACAAGAUAUUCUGAUUGACAGCUUUCAGUCUUUUCAAACUCAGGAAAAAUCUGAAGAAGAGGAGGAGCUAGAGGAUUUUGUUAAUUUUGAACGUUACCGGGACUUGAUUAAGCAUCGUCAUAGAGGAUUUUCUGAUGAGGUGGAUUUACAACAUGUUGCGCAAGAGUUGGAAGCAAAAGCUAUUCUUCCUUUUAGCUUUGAGAAAUCUCAAUCAUCACAGGCUCCAGUUAGCAAAGGUGCUUAUUCGCAGGUUGGAUACUCAUAUAAAGGGGAUGGAAAUGAACAUUCUGAUGAUCUGCCCAGUGAUGAUGAAGAUGAAGAGGAAGGAGAAGAGGAUGCCAAGGACUUCAGUAGUGAUGAUAGCAGUGAUGAGCAAAUGGAAAACUUAGCAAAGGAAUUUGGCAUAAAAAGAUAUAACUGGCUUGUUUACAUGGACAAAAAGGUCAAAGAAGAGGAGAAGCGGCAGAAAGAAAUUAUUAAAGGCGACCCAUCCAUUAAAAAAUUGAGUCGGAGAGAUAGAAGGAAGGCUUCUCAAUCUGAGAGGGAGCGAGAGAGGGAGGCAGUACGUUCUGUUGGAAGGGUAUCUUAUCGUGACCCUUAUAGGGAACAAAGGAGAAGCCCAUCAUAUGAAGCAUAUUCAAGAGGCAGAAGAUCAAGGUCGCGGUCAAGAUCUCAUUCACCUUCAUCCAGACGUCAUACCCGUGGUACACAUGCUGAAAGUAAUUACCGAAGAAAGGCUAAGACUCCAAGAGUUGAAUACAUCACUGAAUUUGGAGGUUCAGAAGACGCCAGUGAUCUGAAAGUUACAGGGAUCUCUCCGCCUUUGUCUCCAAUACGAACUGACAUACCUAACCGGUCAUCAGGUGUCCAUAUUCUGGAGGCACUUCACAGUGAUCCUGCAUCUUCUUUAUCCAUGGAACAGGAAAAAAGUGCUAAAAUUUUGAAACCACCUGCCAGCACAUUAUCAGCACUAGCGAAACUAAAGGGUGCUUCUGGAGGAUUUGGUAAAACUCCCCAGGCUGAAAAGAAAGAAACACCACAGGAACGCCUUAAAAGGAUAAUGAGCAAACAGCUUAACAAACAAAUUCGUAAAGAUACUGCUGCUGAGACCGCAAAGAAACGAGAACAGGAACGGCAAAGGCAGGAAAAACUUGCAGAAGUAGGUCGAUACAGGCUCCGUAGCAGGAGUAGAAGUCUUAGCCGUUCUCCACCAAGAAAGCGGCAUUAUAGCAGAAGCCAUAGUAGGAGCCAGAGCCCAAGAAGAAACCAUUCACUUUCACUGUCUCGUUCAAGGUCACCCUCUCACUCUCCAAGGUACAGAAGCAGAUCAAGGCACUGAAAGUAUCUCAGAGCUCAUUGGUUGUCUAUGGCACGUGGUGCUUCAUUUUUAUUUACUUGGGCUUCCUGGUGCCCUGUUACUUAUGUACCGAUCAGCGAAGUCCUGGAUCCCAUCAUUGUUGAUAGCGUAGAGUUAGUGUAUUUGUGAUUGUGAUAUUUAUGAGCAGAAUAUCGUUCAAGAGGUGCGCGACUCUCUUCUUGAUUUUUUUAUUAUGUGGGCUGUAUUGUUGAUAGAUUAGGUAUGUGCCAGUUGCUCUAGAGUAUUAGUUGCUCUGGAGUAUUAGGGCUCCUCCGAUGCUGACCCCCAAAUGGGACACCCUAGACUGGUGAGGACUAGUCUGUCACGAACUGGUGAGGACUUGUCUGUGAACAGUGAUGUGAGAGCCUGCUAUCCAAAGUUGUCCCCUAAACUUGCGCCAUGGACUAGGAC